GCUGGUAGGUUACUGAUGUCACAAAGACACCAUGCUAAGAGGGUGAGUAAGGACUGAAUCCAGCUCACACUGGGCCUGCCAAGCUGUGUGCCCUGCACAAAACUGCCUGUCGUCAGCACCGCGCCUUUCUCUUCUUCACACAAAGGCACCUGAUGUGCCGGCAGCAGCCCUCAUUCAAGGCAAACACCACCAUGGCAGAUGUAGUGCAGUCCCAGUAACCAGCUGCUAGUGUCAAGGUGCAAGCCAUCCAUGCGGCAAGUAUGGAUUCCAGAGCUGGCAAGCAUCAGGGGCUCACCGAUGAUGGCAUAUUCUUGACGAUGUUGGUGUUCUGACCGUGUACCCUGAUUGUACUGGCUUCCCGACUGUGGCAGCGUUUUAGAAGAAGCUUUAAUGGCCUAAGAAAAGUUUACAAUACAAUGUUAAGCAAUAAAGAAGAAUAUGAAACUGUACAUGU